CAGCAUACACUUGGGGGCCUUAGUCGGUGGUCUGGGUUGUUUCCCUCUCGACCCUGGAACUUAUCUCCCAAGGCUAAAUACUCCUUGAUGACCGAUAGUGAACCAGUACCGUGAGGGAAAGGCGAAAAGAACCCCGGGAGGGGAGUGAAAUAGAACCUGAAACCGUUUGCCUACAAGCUGUGGAAGGCCUAUGUGCAAUUUUGUACAGGCUAACUGCGUGCCUUUUGCAUAAUGAGUCCGCGAGUUACCGUUAGUGGCAAGGUUAAGCCGAUAGGUGUAGCCGAAGCGAAAGCGAGUCUUAAAUGGGCGAACAUAGUUGCUGGCGG
rnacentral:rRNA from 1 species